GUUGAACGCUGGCGGCAGGCUUAACACAUGCAAGUCGAGCGGGGACUUCGGUCCUAGCGGCGAACGGGUGAGGAAUGCUUGGGAAUCUGCCUGGUAGUGGGGGAUAACGUUUCGAAAGGAACGCUAAUACCGCAUACGUCCUACGGGAGAAAGGGGGGGAUCUUCGGACCUCUCGCUACCAGAUGAGCCCAAGUCGGAUUAGCUAGUUGGUGAGGUAAAGGCUCACCAAGGCGACGAUCCGUAGCUGGUCGGAGAGGAUGAUCAGCCACACUGGAACUGAGACACGGUCCAGACUCCUACGGGAGGCAGCAGUGGGGAAUAUUGGACAAUGGGCGAAAGCCUGAUCCAGCCAUGCCGCGUGUGUGAAGAAGGCCUUCGGGUUGUAAAGCACUUUAAGCGAGGAGGAAUGGCUCUGGGUUAAUACCCUUGAGCAGUGACGUUACUCGCAGAAUAAGCACCGGCUAACUCUGUGCCAGCCGCCGCGGUAAGAC
rnacentral:rRNA from 1 species